UGAUGAGAAUACACUUAUAAUUCUAUACUUGAUUAAAUGAAGAGAUAAAUUACCAGAAUUAACUGAAUUGGAAUAUGCUAUCAACCAAGGAAAAAAGGCCAAAAAGUUUUAAAUAAAUCACCCCCUUUCCCAAAGGGCACAGAGUCAGACUCAUUUAGGGAGAAGUCCCUUCAAAUCUGUUCUACUUAGACUACUCUUGGACACAGAGAAAGAAGGCAGGUGAGCCCCUUCCAGAUGGCCCGGCCCCCAGCCGCCCCGCCUUAGUAGCAGUUCCUCUGGGGCAGAGCCUGCCGUUGAGUGGGGUUCAGCCUGUUGUGUGGACAGGUCAUCUUGCUAUGCUAUUUGGACCUAGCUGUUACCACCCUCAUACCUUCUAGUUACCUAUCUGUGGCUGAUGUCAGCUGUAUGUAGGCCAGUCAAGCCCACAGCACUCAUGCAAGUCAUACUAAUUAAUCCUCUGGAUGGCCGCCUUUAUCUUCUUCACUAAGUUCCUUGUUUUCUCCCAUAUCAGAGGAAGAAUGCUCCUGUUCGCACCCUCUAAAAGGAAAGUGAGGAAACAGGCACAGGGAGAUGUAGUUACCAGCCCAGUCCUCACUAGGAUGAAGUCAGGGAUAAGGGAGUUGGGAGCUAAUGGCAAAGGAGAGCCCAUGUGACUUUCAUCCUGGAGAAAUUCAGGAUGCCAGGAGUGGACGCCAGGGAACAGGUGUAAACCGGGGCUCUUGGUCAUCCCAGAUGGGAUCUGUGGAGGGUCCAGAGAGAGGAGCUUCUUUCUUUUAGGUGAAGACUGGAGGAGGAAGAGGGUUGUAUCUUUCAGUGUUAAGCGUUGCUAAGAGUGGGUUCUAGGUCUUUCGGGAGCCCUAAGGACUUUUGGAGGCCAGAUUCCGCUUAGAUGCUGACCUGUUGGGCACAGCUCUGACAUGAAGAUCAGUGGGAUGCUCCAGACCCCUGGCUGGACCUCCGCGCACAUGGGCGCUCCGGUCUCUCUGAAAAAGGACACUCUGUAACUGACACAACUGGUAGGAGUUACCGAGGGAGCUGGGUUCGUCCUCCGGUGAAUUCCCCUGGAUACAGAGCGAGCUGUUUAAGGCUCCUUGGAGAUAGCUGCUCUUAAUACAGUUGACAGUGGGCUCAGCGCUCUGUGGAGGCGAGCGUGGUAUUUAACAAAUUACCCAAUAACUCUUGGGCUCCUAGAGGACCAGAUUGUACGCAGAGUACCGAGUGGGGUUAAGAAGAGACAGACCAGCCGCCCACAGACUAAUUCCUCCUACUGCAGGUCCUCCGUCCCGUUCCAUUUCUCCCCACUUAGGCGUAUUUCGGAGCGUCGCUUUUAAAAACCAGAAACCUACCGAAAAUGCGCCUGAGGGAGGCGAUAUUGCCUAUGAGCAAAAGCAGGUUUCGCACCAAGUCCCAGAAGCAUAGAAAGGUGAUCUCUCUCUCCCCAUCCAGGGCAAUCGUAAUGCCACAUGCAUCCCGUCCAACGCCCAGCAAGCAGCCCUGUGUGGCUCUGCUCUCCGGACCCCAGGACAUCCCCACGCCCAGCCUCCCAGGCCCAUUUUCCCAGCAGCUCCAGUCUUCCCGGGUCUCCACGCAACAAUGAAGCGUGGGCGGCCCCAGCGGCCUCAUUUGCAUACCGCCGCGGCUUGGCCAAUGGGCUGCGCAGGGGCUUUGGAACGCAGUGUUGCCAUCAGCGUGUGCGCGUGUGUGCGAGUGUGACAGCGGCUGUGGCUGUGGCCGUGGCCGUGGGAGGCUGGCCCGGGGAGCCCAGCCGCGCGGGGACCGGCCCCGGCGCCCGCUUCCCAAGCGUGUCGCGGCCGCGUGGCCCGGCAGAGCCCAGAGACCAUCCAGCCCCGGCCGGGCGCCGUCGAGAUGUCGGUGGCGGGGCUGAAGAAGCAGUUCCACAAAGCCAGCCAGCUGUUUAGUGAAAAAAUAAGUGGCGUUGAAGGAACGAAACUAGAUGAUGAAUUUCUUGACAUGGAAAGGAAAAUAGACGUUACCAAUAAAGCUGUUGCAGAAAUUCUUUCAAAAGCUACAGAAUAUCUUCAGCCGAAUCCAGCAUACAGAGCUAAGCUAGGAAUGCUGAACACUGUGUCGAAGAUCCGAGGACAGGUGAAAACCACGGGAUACCCACAGACGGAAGGCUUGCUGGGCGACUGCAUGCUGAAAUACGGGAAGGAGCUCGGGGAAGGCUCCGCUUUUGGCAAUGCAUUGAUAGAAGUUGGCGAAUCCAUGAAGCUAAUGGCUGAGGUGAAAGACUCUCUUGAUAUUAAUGUAAAGCAAACUUUUAUUGAUCCACUUCAGUUACUACAAGACAAAGAUUUAAAAGAGAUUGGGCAUCACCUGAAAAAGCUGGAAGGCCGCCGCCUGGAUUACGAUUAUAAAAAGAAGCGAGUAGGUAAGAUACCAGAUGAAGAAGUCAGACAAGCAGUAGAAAAAUUUGAAGAGUCAAAGGAGUUGGCUGAAAGAAGCAUGUUUAAUUUUUUAGAAAAUGAUGUAGAACAAGUCAGCCAGUUGGCCGUGUUUAUAGAGGCAGCUUUAGACUAUCACAAACAGUCCACAGAGAUUCUGCAGGAGCUACAGAGCAAGCUACAGAUGCGAAUAUCGGCUGCAUCCAGCGUCCCCAGGCGAGAAUACAAGCCACGGCCCAUGAAAAGGAGUCCUAGUGCGCUCAAUGGGGUAUCCACCACCUCUUCAGCAAAGACAACAGCCUACAGCAGACUGGAAGCAGCAGAUUAGAAAGGCCUUGGGGACUGCUUUCGGAAGGCCCACUGUCGGCAGGAAAAAGUGACAGGUCGCAGCCUGACUACAAGGGAGGCAAGAGAAAAACUAUAAAAAGCAGGAACAAAAACUCAAAAGGCACAGCCGUCUGGGGCAUUUACUAAAAGACAAAGAGCCCUCCUCAGGUUCUCACAUUCCCAUGGACCAGCCCUGCUGUCGUGGUCUCUAUGAGUUUGAGCCAGAAAACCAAGGAGAACUAGGAUUUAAAGAAGGGGAUAUCAUUACGUUAACCAAUCAGAUAGAUGAAAACUGGUAUGAAGGAGUGCUCCAUGGGGAAUCUGGAUUCUUCCCCAUUAAUUACGUGGAAGUGAUUGUGCCUUUACCUCAGUAAAUGUGUAACUCAAACUUUGGACGUACUUUCAUAACGGAAAUGAAUUCACACCAGUGUCCUCUCAGUGUGGUGUUCUGUGGCAUUCCUGCUCUUUGACCAGCUUAAUGACUUUUGUAUGUGUGUUCUCUUUAUAAUGUAUUUUGUAUCCAUUUAAUUUGUAUAAAUGAUUUUCUUGUCUUAGCUACAUGAAAAUACCAUCUUCUUUUUUUUGCUGACUGUCCUAAAAGUCAUUGGUUAAAUAAAUGUAUGUGCUCCUUGUUGCUAAAAACAAAUGCACCCACUGCAGUUUUGUUAGUGAAUUGCCCAUGUUCCUCAAGCUGUGAUGGAAUGCGACACUUGAAACUAAGAACUGCUAAAUAUCUUGUUUCCUGACAUUACUGAUGGCAUCCGGUCUUUUCCCUUCAUGGUGUUUUAGCUGACCUGUGAAUAGCCCAAUAAACAUGACACACUGUGUUGGUAAAAAGGC